CCUGGAUGUUUUAUUUGUCCUGAAGAGCUUUCUUCUGUGUUUAAAAGGACCAUCCCAUCUCUCCCUAGGUGUAGCCAUUUAUCUAAAAAGUGCCCUGGCAAUCAGCCAUUGCCUGCUGUGGUGGGUACAGCCUCACUGCAUGGACAGUUACAGGAACGUUCAAAUUGCCAUGGUUUCCACAGAAAAUGUGUUCAGACUCCCUGAAAAGGUCAGUGUCCCAGUGCUGUAGAGAAAACCACCCUGGAUUUUUCCUGUUGACCAAAUUUAUUGCCUUGGCUUGAUUUUGCAAACCAGAGUUGUAUGUCUGCAGCAUCCUUCACAUGACAUUCCAGAUUAUUCUCUAUGGAUCCCUGUUGGUCUAUUAGCUGCUGCUAAGAGAUCUGAGAAAGAAAGAUCUCUCUACACCACAGAAUGAAGAUGUGGUGGCAGUAUGUGUUGGGACCCCUGGACUGUGGCACCCUAGCCAGGGCAGCUGGUGGCUGUGACUGAAGAGGUGACACAUGUGGUAGCUGCAGUACAAAAUCCUUCCACUAGCAGAAGCUGGAGUAGAAGCAGUGUUUGUGCCUUUUUUGUGGAAGCAUCAGGCAGUGUACCAGAAAGGUGCCUCCAGGUUCUAUCAAUUUUUGUAGAGAAAAAUGAAUGCCAGACCUUACAAACUUUGCCUGGAUGCAACGCAAGAAAAAACAAAGUCUGCUCUCUACAUGCUGGAUGCCAAAGAAAACUGAACAUAAGGGACACAUUUUAAUUAACUGCUACAGUAAUUUAUUGAGGAAAGUGAUUUGUUGAUCACUACUCACAGUCUUUAAAUAAGAAUUUGCUUUCUAAGAGGAGUAGUUUUAGUUCAGCAACAUUUUAUUCCUUUUGGUAUAGGAAAAGCUCAUACUCUUGAGCAGAUCUGAUGGGGUGGUUGCCACAGCUCUUCCUGCCCUUAAAAUUAAAAAUUGUUAGCAUCUCCUGCUCAUAUAUUUCAGGCUAAAAUUAAAAGAUAAAGCAUGCUGUGUGUAAUGAGGUAUUAUAUUUUAUUCUAAAUCUCUUUGUUCAUUUUUUCUUGGAGGGGCAGGUAAGGCAUCUCCAAGCUUAAGCAAUGAGUUGAGCUUCUCAGUUAAAAUGAGAACUUUCUGCAAGAGAAAUAAAACUUGGUGGGACCAAUUUUUACAUCUUUGACCUCUCUGGUUCCCCAACACUGAAUUUGUGUUGUGAAUUUCCAAAAUCUCUUUGUAAUGCAGCUGGGUGGUGGAAAUGUGGAUGUCUAGAAAAAGGAAGCUCAUAAGUGGCUGAUGAUGUCAUUUAGACUUACCCAGAGGAAUCACUGCUGUUCAUGUCAUUAAAACAGUUGGGAUGAUUUUGUCAGUAUUUUUGUCUUGUUCUCCCUCCUGCAGAAUGAUGCCAGUUGUAGGUGAAGUGCUUGCAUAGAUGAUGUAUUAAUAUUAAUAGGUUAUUGAACAGGGAUUGAUGUUGGUCAGACCAUUUGUUUCAUAGGCACUGCUUCAAUUAUGUUAUCAUUGUAAGCUUUCCUAUUAAUUAGCUUAGAAGGAGUAAUUUCCCAGCAGAUUAUAGGAGCCAGCAUGUAAUGAGUGUUUCUGACAUUAAAAACCUUAUUGAUGGAAAUUAUCUACAUUGGUUAUCAUCUGGAUAUCCAGAUAUACCUUUUG